CCUACGGGCGGCAGCAGUGAGGAAUAUUGGUCAAUGGCCGGAAGGCUGAUCCAGCCAUGCCGCGUGAAUGUCAGUGCCCUUUGGGCGUUAAACUUCUUUUGUGCGGGAGCAAUAUUGGUCACGCGUGGCCAGACGAGAGUACCGUACGAAUACGCAUCGGCUCACUCCGUCCCAGCAGCCGCGGUAAUACGGAGGAUGCGAGCGUUAUCCGGAUUUAUUGGGUUUAAAGUGUGCGUAGGUGGAUAAUUAAGUCAGCGGUGAAAGUUUGUGGCUCAACCAUAAAAUUGUCGUUGAAACUGGUUGACUUGAGUAUAUUUGAGGUAGGCGGAAUGCGUGGUGUAGCGGUGAAAUGCGUAGAUAUCACGAGGAACACCGGUUGCGAAGGCAGCUUACUAAACUAUAACUGACACUGAAGCACGAAAGCGUGGGGAUCAAACAGGAUUAGAUACCCGAGUAGUC
rnacentral:rRNA from 1 species